GGGUCGAAGUGGUUGAUUUAAUUUGUUAUGGCACCAAAUGGAAAAAAAUGUAAAGAUAGUAAUCAAUAGUGAAUUCAAAAUUCAAAAGUUUUAUAGUUAACCAAAAAUGAAUUUCAAUAUCAACGGUUAAUCUACUGUGAAAAGUGAGAACCCUUUUGAUAAAGUAGUUUAACUAAAAUUAAUUAAUAUUUUGUAUUAAAAACUUAUU
rnacentral:lncRNA from 1 species